rnacentral:rRNA from 1 species
UACAGAGGGUGCGAGCGUUAAUCGGAAUUACUGGGCGUAAAGCGCACGUAGGUGGCGACGUAAGUCGGGUGUGAAAGCCCCGGGCUCAACCUGGGAAUUGCACUCGAGACUGCAUUGCUGGAGUACGGAAGAGGAGGGCGGAAUUCCCGGUGUAGCGGUGAAAUGCGUAGAUAUCGGGAGGAACAUCAGUGGCGAAGGCGGCCCUCUGGUCCAGUACUGACACUCAAGUGCGAAAGCGUGGGGAGCAAACAGG